CUCCUACCGAUUGAAUGGUCCGGUGAAGCGCUCGGAUCGCGGCGACGAGGGCGGUCCCCCGCCCGCGACGUCGCGAGAAGUCCGUUGAACCUUAUCAUUUAGAGGAAGGAG
rnacentral:rRNA from 1 species